GAUGAACGCUGGCGGCGUGCCUAACACAUGCAAGUCGAGCGAUCGGACGAGAAUCGUGCUUUUCUGAUGUUACCGGCGGACGGGUGAGGAACACGUGGAUACCCUACCUAUAGGACUGGGAUAACUUCAGGAAACCGGAUCUCACACAGGAUAUAACUUUGAACCGAGUGGUUCAAAGGUCCAAGACGGUCCUGCUGUCCCUUGUACAGAGUACCGGGCUGGAUUAGCUAGUUGGUGAGGUAACGGCUUACCAAGGCGACGGUGGGUAAACGGUCUGAGAGGGUGAUCAGGCACACUGGGACUGAGACACGGUCCAGAAUGCUAAGGGAGGCAGCAGUGGGGAAUAUUGGACAAUGGGGGAAAGCCUGAUCGAGCCAUGCCGCGUGUGUGAAGAAGGUCUUCGGAUUGUAAAACCCUUUAAGUUGGGAGGAAAGGUAUUAGCAUAAUACGUUAGUGUUUUGACGGUACCGAAAGAAUAAGCACCGGCUAACUCUGUG
rnacentral:rRNA from 1 species